rnacentral:lncRNA from 1 species
GGCAGUUGGGGGAAAGAGGUAGAGGAGGCAAUCAUUCACUGAGUAUAAACACCUGCCAACAUUCCAUAGGCAGAUGUUCUCCAUUGUAAAGGAGUGUGUUGCCCUGUUCUGGAACUGAUGCCAAACAGAAGGUCCUCUUGGCAGGCACAUUAGCCCUCACUGUGCUCUGCAGAUUACUCCUCUGAACCAUCUUAGAUUGGCAAAUGUGCCUUAUAGAAAUUGGCUUACCACCCACUUCACAGGCCUCCCGCCAGCCAAACAGAUGGGCACAAGUUGUUUGGCUAGAGAAAGCCUUCUAGCACCUGGGAAGCUUGCUUUCUGAAACCUGCUAGAGUUCAGAUUUAAUGCCUUGUCCUCCAGUAGAAGCCAAAUCCCCAACCUGGGACUUCCAUGACUCUGAGGAAAGCCAACAGGAUGAAAGUUCAGUUCUAGGGUCACACACAGACAACAAACUGAAACAGAGAAGCAAAAUAAAUGCAUGUCAUUGGGCAUCUCAGUUGCUGUAUUCUGGUUCCUGAAGAAUCAAAGGCAUUACCUCCAACUAAUGUCUUUUAGCAUUCAUUUGGAAUAAUAGCAUCACUUCUUGGAUGACCACUAAGAAGUACUAUAUGGAACAAGACAGCCCAAUCUGAAUCUCAUUUGUAAUUACCAGGACAUAAGCUCAUGGGGUUUUGUGAUGAAAGAAAAAUUAAACAGAAAUGAUUGCAAUCAUCCCAAUGACAGGAUUGGAAAUACUAAGUGCACUCUUGCCAACAAUCAAAUUCAAUUCGCCAAAUAUUUCUUAAGCUUGUACUAAAUAGAAGGCAUUUCAGCACGGAUAUUAAUGUUAGGACCAGACUAAACAAUUGUC